AAGAAGUAGACGUUGAUCCACGCUCUUUAAUGUCGUACGGAGACAUGUCCCUUCCUCCUCCGCCGCAAUCUACAUCUUCUGCGGAGGAAGGGAGCAGAUCGUGAAUCGAAGAGAUUGUGCUGUUGUCGGUGGUGGAGUUGAAGAGGUAAGCCGCCACGGUGUCGUAUUGAUCUUCUUCUUUCUCCCCUUCUCCCACUGUCUCCAUUCUCUUCUUCUCAGCACCUCCUCUCGUCUUGCUCUGCUUCUUCUUGUUCGUCGUGGUUACGGGACUCUCGUCGAUCUCGUGAGAAGUGUUGAGUUCGAGCUUGAGACUGAGACUGAGGAACUUUGGUUUCUUUGUCUUUGUUCUGAUCUGCUUACGAGACGUUUCAAGAUUCGAAGGAGAGCUAUCAUCCAUGGCUAUGUGUUUCCUCUUCUUGAUCCUCUUCGAUGUUCUCGUACUCUGUUUUUCUUCUCCGACCACAGGACAAGGUUCACUACACAUCUUUGAUCCCUCUUACACUGUAUAAUUGUGUGUUUCUCUCACUCUUAAUUAACUUGUUCUCUGUUUUGUAAUAGAAAGAAUGUAGGUGGAGGGAAAAGGAAAGCUGAUCGUGAUGUUACUUUGACACGUGUCGAUCAUUAAUUCGAUAAAACUAUUGUAAUCUUGGAUUCUGUUUGGAUGUGCAGGGUUUCAACAUUUCAGACACGGCAACAUUCAUAGAGUUCACGGUAGAUCUUAAUUCAAAAAGGUUUGGGAUAUUGAGUACCAAGUCUGGGCUUGGGUUGGACGUGCCUAGAAGGUCUGGAGCCUUCUAUAUCCGAACAGGUACGAUCUGGACCGUUGAUUGUAAUCGAUGGAAAAGAUCUGUCCCAGAAGGAUGUUCACGCAUCAACCCAAUCUAGUUCUCAAUCUUACAUAUAUUACUGUAGCCAUCACGCUUAUACAAGGUGUGUAAAAUGUUGAAAAGAAAAGAAGGGAAGCUUACUUUAACACGAGGACGUUUCUCAGCGUUGAGUUUACGAACUUGGUAUCGAAUCCGUUUAGAGAAAAGGCGACUUUGUCGUUUCUCUUUAUACCGUAGCAAGCUCGCUUCUCUAUGCCCUCUCCAUAACGUCUCCGUCGUCUCCAUCUCCGGCACAGUCCAUAAACUCCCUGCCUCUCCGCCGCCGGUAACCACCUAAACAACCAUCAAAACACACUUGCCUAGUAUCAAAUCUUUCUUAUCCAGCUUAGAUUAAUUUUGACGAUAACAACGAUGACCAAAAUAUACAAUAUUUUACAAUUGGGUGCAUUUGUCAUGUAUAUACCAUAUGAUUUAAUAAAGCUCGAUAGGUUUCAUGAUUUGAUAAAUGUUUUUUAUCAAUCUAACAGUUAUGUAGAAAAUCAACAUGUACAAGUAUUAUCAUUUAUUAGGGUUACAGAAAAUUUUUCAAAAAAAAUCAUUAUGCGGUUACAUUUUCAGUUUAUAGGCAAAGCUUUCAAUAUGAUACUAGAACUUUCAACGUAAUAAAUUUAAUUAGGCUAUCAUCAUUACAGUUUCAAGAAAAAACUCGUGACCACAUCAAAAUUUUCACCGCUUUUAAUAGGUCAACUUAAUUAGUUACAUUAAGCAUUAACUACGAUUUAAUUUAUAUCAACUUAAUUAUACUCGUUCUGUUCCUAAAUAUAGGAUGUUUAGAAUAGUUUUUAUGUUCCAAUAUGCAGGAUGUUCUCAUAUUUCUAGGUAGUUUAAGUUUAUCAAAAACUCUGUUACCAAUCAAACUUAAUAGUUCUAUUUUGUAAUUGGUUGAAUAGUUUUAAAUUUAAAAUUUUAAUAAUACUUUUUAGAUAAAAACUAAAUUUCUUAAUAAGUGUAUUUUACCUAAAAAAUCUUAUAUUUAGGAAGGGGGGGGAGGGGGAGUAUAAUUUAAGCAUUAAUUACGAUAUAUAAACAUGAUAUAAAGAGAUGUUUACUUACAUCAGCAGAAGCAUGCAAGUCCGGCACCGUCUGCGGCGGUUCUCCGUCGACAUAAAGAGUACCUUUAUCCGGCCAAGCCUCCAUGAUCUGCUCAUAAUCAAGCUUCAGAGCCAGCGAAGUCCUUCCAUCGUUUCCAUCUCCGCCGCAACACCGUGGAGUUCCGCUCCGACUCAUCACCUCGUCCACAACCUCCGAAUAACUCACCCACCGCUCCGCCGUAGCUUCCUCCUUGCUCGCUCCUUUCCUCAUCGCCGUCCGUAGAAGCGAAGAAGUAGACGUUGAUCCACGCUCUUUAAUGUCGUACGGAGACAUGUCCCUUCCUCCUCCGCCGCAAUCUACAUCUUCUGCGGAGGAAGGGAGCAGAUCGUGAAUCGAAGAGAUUGUGCUGUUGUCGGUGGUGGAGUUGAAGAGGUAAGCCGCCACGGUGUCGUAUUGAUCUUCUUCUUUCUCCCCUUCUCCCACUGUCUCCAUUCUCUUCUUCUCAGCACCUCCUCUCGUCUUGCUCUGCUUCUUCUUGUUCGUCGUGGUUACGGGACUCUCGUCGAUCUCGUGAGAAGUGUUGAGUUCGAGCUUGAGACUGAGACUGAGGAACUUUGGUUUCUUUGUCUUUGUUCUGAUCUGCUUACGAGACGUUUCAAGAUUCGAAGGAGAGCUAUCAUCCAUGGCUAUGUGUUUCCUCUUCUUGAUCCUCUUCGAUGUUCUCGUACUCUGUUUUUCUUCUCCGACCACAGGACAAGGUUCACUACACAUCUUUGAUCCCUCUUACACUGUAUAAUUGUGUGUUUCUCUCACUCUUAAUUAACUUGUUCUCUGUUUUGUAAUAGAAAGAAUGUAGGUGGAGGGAAAAGGAAAGCUGAUCGUGAUGUUACUUUGACACGUGUCGAUCAUUAAUUCGAUAAAACUAUUGUAAUCUUGGAUUCUGUUU
rnacentral:lncRNA from 1 species